rnacentral:rRNA from 1 species
GGAUGCGACCAUACCAGCACU